AUUGAACGCUGGCGGCAGGCCUACCACAUGCAAGUCGAACGAGUGGCGGACGGGUGAGUAAUGUCUGGGAAACUGCCCGAUGGAGGGGGAUAACUACUGGAAACGGUAGCUAAUACCGCAUACCAUCGGAUGUGCCCAGAUGGGAUUAGCUAGUAGGUGGGGUAACGGCUCACCUAGGCGACGAUCCCUAGCUGGUCUGAUAGGAUGACCUGCAAAACUGGAACUGGGACACGGUCCAGACUCCUACGGGAGGAAGCAGGGGGGAAUAUUGCAAAAUGGGCGCAAGCCUGAUGAAGCCAUGCCGGGUGGAUGAAGAAGGCCUUCGGGUUGUAAAGUACUUUCAGCGAGGAGGCGUUACUCGCAGAAGAAGCACCGGCUAACUCCGUGCCAGCCGCCGCGGUAAUUC
rnacentral:rRNA from 1 species